rnacentral:rRNA from 1 species
GCCUAAAUACAUGCAAGUCGAACGCUUCUUUUUCCACCGGAGCUUGCUCCACCGGAAAAAGAGGAGUGGCGAACGGGUGAGUAACACGUGGGUAACCUGCCCAUCAGAAGGGGAUAACACUUGGAAACAGGUGCUAAUACCGUAUAACAAUCGAAACCGCAUGGUUUUGAUUUGAAAGGCGCUUUCGGGUGUCGCUGAUGGAUGGACCCGCGGUGCAUUAGCUAGUUGGUGAGGUAACGGCUCACCAAGGCGACGAUGCAUAGCCGACCUGAGAGGGUGAUCGGCCACAUUGGGACUGAGACACGGCCCAAACUCCUACGGGAGGCAGCAGUAGGGAAUCUUCGGCAAUGGACGAAAGUCUGACCGAGCAACGCCGCGUGAGUGAAGAAGGUUUUCGGAUCGUAAAACUCUGUUGUUAGAGAAGAACAAGGAUGAGAGUAACUGUUCAUCCCUUGACGGUAUCUAACCAGAAAGCCACGGCUAACUACGUGCCAGCAGCCGCGGUAAUACGUAGGUGGCAAGCGUUGUCCGGAUUUAUUGGGCGUAAAGCGAGCGCAGGCGGUUUCUUAAGUCUGAUGUGAAAGCCCCCGGCUCAACCGGGGAGGGUCAUUGGAAACUGGGAGACUUGAGUGCAGAAGAGGAGAGUGGAAUUCCAUGUGUAGCGGUGAAAUGCGUAGAUAUAUGGAGGAACACCAGUGGCGAAGGCGGCUCUCUGGUCUGUAACUGACGCUGAGGCUCGAAAGCGUGGGGAGCAAACAGGAUUAGAUACCCUGGUAGUCCACGCCGUAAACGAUGAGUGCUAAGUGUUGGAGGGUUUCCGCCCUUCAGUGCUGCAGCUAACGCAUUAAGCACUCCGCCUGGGGAGUACGACCGCAAGGUUGAAACUCAAAGGAAUUGACGGGGGCCCGCACAAGCGGUGGAGCAUGUGGGUUUAAUUCGAAGCAACGCGAAGAACCUUACCAGGUCUUGACAUCCUUUGACCACUCUAGAGAUAGAGCUUCCCCUUCGGGGGCAAAGUGACAGGUGGUGCAUGGUUGUCGUCAGCUCGUGUCGUGAGAUGUUGGGUUAAGUCCCGCAACGAGCGCAACCCUUAUUGUUAGUUGCCAUCAUUUAGUUGGGCACUCUAGCAAGACUGCCGGUGACAAACCGGAGGAAGGUGGGGAUGACGUCAAAUCAUCAUGCCCCUUAUGACCUGGGCUACACACGUGCUACAAUGGGAAGUACAACGAGUCGCAAAGUCGCGAGGCUAAGCUAAUCUCUUAAAGCUUCUCUCAGUUCGGAUUGUAGGCUGCAACUCGCCUACAAGAAGCCCGGANUCGANAAGAAA